GCAUAUCUAUAAGCGGAGGAAAAAGAAACCCAACAGGGAUUGCCCUAGUAACGGCGAGUGAAGCGGCAACAGCUCAAAUUUGAAAUCUGGCGUCUUUGGCGUCCGAGUUGUAAUUUGCAGAGGGCGCUUUGGCGUUGGCAGCAGUCUAAGUUCCUUGGAACAGGACGUCACAGAGGGUGAGAAUCCCGUACGUGGUUGCUGGCCUUCGCCGUGUAAAGCCCCUUCGACGAGUCGAGUUGUUUGGGAAUGCAGCUCUAAAUGGGAGGUAAAUUUCUUCUAAAGCUAAAUACUGGCCAGAGACCGAUAGCGCACAAGUAGAGUGAUCGAAAGAUGAAAAGCACUUUGGAAAGAGAGUCAAACAGCACGUGAAAUUGUUAAAAGGGAAGCGCUUGCAGCCAGACUUGCCUGUAGUUGCUCAUCCGGACUUUUGUCCGGUGCACUCUUCUAUAGGCAGGCCAGCAUCAGUUUGGGCGGUUGGAUAAAGGUCUCUGUCAUGUACCUCUCUUCGGGGAGAACUUAUAGGGGAGACGACAUGCAACCAGCCUGGACUGAGGUCCGCGCAUUUGCUAGGAUGCUGGCGUAAUGGCUGUAAGCGGCCCGUCUUGAAACACGGACCAAGGAGUCUAACAUCUAUGCGAGUGUUUGGGUGUCAAGCCCGAACGCGUAAUGAAAGUGAACGGAGGUGGGAACCCCUCGGGGUGCACCAUCGACCGAUCCUGAUGUCUUCGGAUGGAUUUGAGUAAGAGCAUAGCUGUUGGGACCCGAAAGAUGGUGAACUAUGCUUGAAUAGGGUGAAGCCAGAGGAAACUCUGGUGGAGGCUCGCAGCGGUUCUGACGUGCAAAUCGAUCGUCAAAUUUGGGCAUAGGGGCGAAAGACUAAUCGAACUAUCUAGUAGCUGGGUUCUGCGAAG
rnacentral:rRNA from 1 species